UGUGUGUGUGUGUGUGUGUGUAGAUAUAUUUGUGUAUAUGUAUAUACACACACACACACACACACACACACACACACACACACACACACACA
rnacentral:miRNA from 1 species